GCCGGGUGCAGUGGCGCGCGCCUGUAAUCCAAGCUGCUGGGAGGCUGAGGCUGGCGGAUCGCUUGAGUUCAGGGGUUCUGGGCUGCAGUGGACUAUGUCGAUCGGGUGUCCGUGCUAAGUUCGGUAUCGAUAUGGUGCUCCUGGGGGAGCUCGGGACCACCAGGUCGUCUAAGGAGGGGUGAACCGGCCCAGGUCGGAGACGGAGCAGGUCAAAGCCCCCGUGCCGAUCAGUAGUGGGGUUGCACCUGUGAAUAGACACUGCAGUGCAGCCUGAGCGAUACAGCGAGACUCAGUCUUUU
ensembl:misc_RNA Metazoa_SRP Metazoan signal recognition particle RNA